rnacentral:tRNA from 2 species
GGAUAUAGUUCAGUUGGUAGAGCGCCAGAUUGUGGCUCUGGAAGUCGUGGGUUCGAGUCCCACUAUU